GACGCCGUCACCGUGACGUCAUCGCGCUCUGCCCGCUUCCAAGAUGGCGGCGGCGGGCGGGCUGCGGCGCGCGGGCUGGCGGCUGUGGCGGGGCCGCGCGGUGGUCAGCAAGGGAUGCCAGUACUACCUGCCACACCGUGCUCUCCAGGCCUCAGCCAUGCUGAGGAGAGCCUCCGAUGAGCACAAGAAGGAGCCAUUGACAUCCUUCUCUCAACAGCACUUUGAUUCACCUCCAGCUGAUCACCAGCCUGAAGAGAAACCUCAGGGCCCUCGCCCCAGUUACACUGGCCAGGGCGGCCAGGAGUCUGAGGACUAUGAGAGCGAGGAGCAGCUGCAGCAUCGAAUCCUCACAGCGGCGCUGGAGUUUGUGCCUGAGCAUGGCUGGACUGCAGAGGCCAUUGCAGAGGGAGCCAAGACUCUGGGCCUCUCUGUUGCCGCAGCAGGGAUGUUUCACAGUGAUGGCAGUGAACUGAUCCUGCACUUUGUGUCUGAGUGCAACUCCAAACUGUCUGAACUGCUGGAGAAGGAGCAGAAGCUAGUGCAGCUGGGUGAAGCAGAGAAGAAGCCUAUAGAUGAAUUCCUGAGAGAUGCUGUGGAAGCCAGACUGAGGAUGCUGAUUCCAUAUAUUGAGAAAUGGCCCCAGGCCCUGAGUAUCCUGUUGCUCCCACGUAACAUCCCUUCUAGCCUCAACCUCCUCACCAGCAUGAUCGAUGAUAUCUGGCACUAUGCUGGGGACCAGUCCACAGAUUUUAACUGGUACACUCGCCGGGCUGUGCUCACUGGCAUUUACAACACCACUGAGCUGGUGAUGAUGCAGGACUCAUCCCCUGGCUUCGAGGACACUUGGCGCUUCCUGGAAAACAGAGUGGCUGACGCCAUGACCAUGAGCAAUACAGCCAGUCAGGUACAAUCCACUGGAGAAGCCGUUGUCCAGGGCCUGAUGGGAGCUGCAGUUACUAUCAAGAACCUGGCGGGGCUGAACCAGCGCCGGUGAGGCGGCAGCGGCGGCGAACACCGGAGAGGCCGCGCCCGGCCCUUGCCCGGCACCAAUAAAGGUGGCAAAUUCCAUUCGAAGAGUGUUCAUCGCGGAAGUUCCCAUCAUAGCCAUUGACUGGGUCCAGAUAGAU